rnacentral:tRNA from 1 species
GUGGGUAUGGCGGAACUGGCAGACGCUCAGGCCUCAGAAACCUGUGGGCAACCGUGUGAGUUCAAAUCUCACUAUCCACACCA